ACACAUGCAAGUCGAGCGGUAACAGGUCCAGCUUGCUGGAUGCUGACGAGCGGCGGACGGGUGAGUAACGCAUAGGAAUCUACCCGGUAGUGGGGGAUAACCUGGGGAAACCCAGGCUAAUACCGCAUACGUCCUACGGGAGAAAGGGGGCUUCGGCUCCCGCUAUUGGAUGAGCCUAUGCCGGAUUAGCUGGUUGGUGAGGUAAUGGCUCACCAAGGCGACGAUCCGUAGCUGGUCUGAGAGGAUGAUCAGCCACAUCGGGACUGAGACACGGCCCGAACUCCUACGGGAGGCAGCAGUGGGGAAUAUUGGACAAUGGGGGCAACCCUGAUCCAGCCAUGCCGCGUGUGUGAAGAAGGCCCUCGGGUUGUAAAGCACUUUCAGCGAGGAAGAACGCCUGUCGGUUAAUACCCGGCAGGAAAGACAUCACUCGCAGAAGAAGCACCGGCUAACUCCGUGCCAGCAGCCGCGGUAAUACGGAGGGUGCAAGCGUUAAUCGGAAUUACUGGGCGUAAAGCGCGCGUAGGUGGCUUGAUAAGCCGGUUGUGAAAGCCCCGGGCUCAACCUGGGAACGGCAUCCGGAACUAUGAGGCUAGAGUGCAGGAGAGGAAGGUAGAAUUCCCGGUGUAGCGGUGAAAUGCGUAGAGAUCGGGAGGAAUACCAGUGGCGAAGGCGGCCUUCUGGACUGACACUGACACUGAGGUGCGAAAGCGUGGGUAGCAAACAGGAUUAGAUACCCUGGUAGUCCACGCCGUAAACGAUGUCGACCAGCCGUUGGGUGCCUAGCGCACUUUGUGGCG
rnacentral:rRNA from 1 species